AGGUGGAUUAGUGGCGCACGGGUGAGUAAUGCAUAGGUAACAUGCCCUUUAGUCUGGGAUAGCCACUGGAAACGGUGAUUAAUACUAGAUACUCCCUACGGGGGAAAGAAUUUCGCUAAAGGAUUGGCCUAUGUCCUAUCAGCUUGUUGGUGAGGUAAUGGCUCACCAAGGCUAUGACGGGUAUCCGGCCUGAGAGGGUGAUCGGACACACUGGAACUGAGACACGGUCCAGACUCCUACGGGAGGCAGCAGUAGGGAAUAUUGCUCAAUGGGCGAAAGCCUGAAGCAGCAACGCCGCGUGGAGGAUGAAGGUUUUAGGAUUGUAAACUCCUUUUCUAAGAGAAGAUA
rnacentral:rRNA from 1 species